rnacentral:lncRNA from 1 species
UUUACAAUUCAAAUCCCCUUCCUUGUAAAUUGAAAUUUUUGCUUCAAAGCUUUCCAAUUAGGGAUAUUUUACUCAAAUCGACAUUGUUUAAUAUAUUAUUUGAUUUGUCAAAGUUGAAGUAUGUUCUGCAUAAAAAGAUUAUCACAUAGUUGAGUUGAAAUAUGCAUAACAUGAGAUAUAGGUUGAGUGUAACCAAUUGAUUUAAAUAGCUUACACUUAGUACUUCAAUAAUCAUAGAUGAGUGUGUGAAAUUUCAUAACUUUAUAUCACUUUUACAAUUUGUAGUGAUUUUACG